rnacentral:lncRNA from 1 species
CUGUGUUUAAAAUAAACCUGAACUAGGUAGGCAUAGAUUCUCCAUGAAAUGUCGGGGGAAAGCCCCCCUCUGAUUAUUUUGGCAUUUGUAGCUUAUAGAGUCAAAAUCUCCCAUAUUUAAAACCUUGUGUUGUGUGUUCAGUCGCUCAGCCAUGUCUGACUCUUUGUGACCCCACGGAAUGUUGCCUGCUGGGCUCCGCUGUCCGUCGCAAGAACACUGGAGUGGGUUGUCAUUUCCUUCUCCAAACCCAGGGAUCGAACUCGUGUCUCCUGCACAGCUUCCACCUUUUGCUGCUUUGCUUCCAAUCGUUUUCUCUGGUAGACUUUGACUCCGGCAAACGCCAGGCAGAGGAUGAGUGUUUUCGCCCCAAGAUAUACACAGCAGCAGGGGGAAGUGUUCAAGCACCUUAAAGAAGAUAAAAAACUCGUGGAGACAUUCGAUCCAUAUGGGUAAGAAUU